rnacentral:tRNA from 1 species
GCCUGAGUGGCUCAGUUGGUUGAGCGUCUGACUUCAGCUCAGGUCGUGAUCUUGUAGUUCGUGGGUCCGAGCCCUGCGUCGGGCU